rnacentral:lncRNA from 1 species
GUAUUUCUUGUCUAUAUACAAUGUUAAUGCUUAAGUAGGUAUUUCUUGGCUGUCAACUCUAAUAUGUUUGAUGGUUGACAUAUCCGUGCUCAUAAAUGAGAAUAACAAAACAAUACUCUCUCAGUCCCGAAAUUCUUGUCGCAUGCCCAGUUCAUUGGCAAAUUUGCAAAAAAGCCCUCGCAAUUUCAAAAGUGUCUCAAACAUACCAAUCCGCCCCGUCUUCUUCCUCCGCUCGUCACCCGCACGUUGCCAGGUGCCGGCGCCGGCCAGCUGCGAUUGCCUACAGGCAUCACCGCCGCCGCCAAGAACUGCUCCGACACAGCCGCCCAGACCUACCCCGCCGAGAUCCCCUCCCAGCGCCCAAACCUGCGCCGUCGCCAUCGCCGCCGCCCAAAACUGCUCUCCCGCGUGCCUCUAGCUCCCGCUGCUGCUUCUCCUCAUGCUCCGGCUACUGCUUCUCCUUGAGCUCCGGCUCUUGCUUCUCCUCGAGCUCCCGUUGGUUGAGCUCUGCUGUCUCACAUGCUUCUCCCAUGCCCGUGCUGCUGCUGCUCCUCCUCUGCACUGUGAAGAUACAGAGUAAAUUGAACCAAAUUCACUGUUAAUUUUGGAGAAAUAAAAAUCGGACAAGAUUGCUGCGGUUGCUGAAAUGGGAUGUUUGUUCACUUCGGCCUUCGGGUUAAGGAGCUUCGAGCUCAAAUCUCAUUUGGCAAGCAGAGUUUUGCUCCAGUUCCUCCUAGACGUCAAAACAGUGAACUGAUGGGAACACUGAACAGUGAACACUAAAGGAGGUGUUUAUCUUUAACAAACAAAGCAGUGUGCUCUUUUUCUGUUAUAAAAUGGAAUUGUAAUGGAACUAACAGUAGGUGAUUGCAUUGAUCUUGAGUUUGGGACAACCAAAUAACCAACUGUAGGCUAUCAAAAGCGCAUCUAAAUGAUAGCUCUAUUCAAUUUUAAAUUCAGUAGCACAAGCAUAACCUCUACAGACUUUGAGACAAAAAACUGGUAUGUAGGAAAUAAAUUCAGACAAACAUCACAGUGUUUCCUGCUUGUGUUUUUACCUGCAGUGUUCUUUUUGCUAAGCAAUGCUUUGACGAGGUCACCUUUAAAUCUUUUGAAUCAGGAGCACCCAGCUAUGACAAGACAUAGCCAACAAACUAACUGUUCCCAGAUUUUCAUCCAUGCAUGAUGUCCACAAAUAUUUGAUGUAUAUGCUACUUUCAAGAC